GAGCAAGUACCCAAUGUUGUCAGCGGGAUUGGUCUGCAAAACCAAUUUAACACGGGUUUGAUUCCCGUCUUGCUCU
rnacentral:tRNA from 1 species